AACGCGAAGAACCUUACCAGGGUUUGACAUGCACGUGCACCAGCCAGAGAUGGUUGUCCCUUCGGGGCGCGUGCACAGGUGCUGCAUGGCUGUCGUCAGCUCGUGUCGUGAGAUGUUGGGUUAAGUCCCGCAACGAGCGCAACCCUCAUCUUCAGUUGCCAUCAGGUAAAGCUGAGCACUCUGGAGAAACUGCCGGUGACAAGCCGGAGGAAGGCGGGGAUGACGUCAAGUCCUCAUGGCCUUUAUGGGCUGGGCUACACACGUGCUACAAUGGCGGUGACAGAGGGACGCGAAGGGGCAACCCUUGGCCAAUCUCAAAAAGCCGUCUCAGUUCGGAUUGUUCUCUGCAACUCGACCCCAUGAAGUCGGAGUCGCUAGUAAUCGCGAAUCAGCAACGUCGCGGUGAAUACGUUCCCGGGCCUGUACACACCGAUACUC
rnacentral:rRNA from 1 species